rnacentral:tRNA from 1 species
GGGCUUGUGGUCUAGUGGUAGGAUUCCUGUUUUGGGUACAGGAGAUCUCGGGUUCGAACCCCGACUGGCCCC